rnacentral:rRNA from 1 species
UACGUAGGGGGCGAGCGUUAUCCGGAUUCACUGGGUGUAAAGGGAGCGUAGACGGCCAAGCAAGCCAGGAGUGAAAGCCCGGGGCCCAACCCCGGGACUGCCCUUGGAACUGCAUGGCUGGAGUGCGGGAGGGGCAGGCGGAAUUCCUGGUGUAGCGGUGAAAUGCGUAGAUAUCAGGAGGAACACCGGCGGCGAAGGCGGCCUGCUGGACCGCGACUGACGUUGAGGCUCGAAAGCGUGGGGAGCGAACAGG